UACAGAGGGUGCGAGCGUUGUUCGGAAUUAUUGGGCGUAAAGGGCGCGUAGGCGGCGCCACAAGUCACCUGUGAAAACUCUGGGCUUAACUCAGAGCCUGCAGGCGAAACUGUGGUGCUGGAGUAUGGGAGAGGUGCGUGGAAUUCCCGGUGUAGCGGUGAAAUGCGUAGAUAUCGGGAAGAACACCCGUGGCGAAGGCGGCUCUCUGGGACGGUACUGACGCUGAGACGCGAAAGCGUGGGGAGCGAACAGG
rnacentral:rRNA from 1 species